rnacentral:rRNA from 1 species
AGUGAACGCUGGCGGUAGGCCUAACACAUGCAAGUCGAACGGCAGCACAGUAAGAGCUUGCUCUUACGGGUGGCGAGUGGCGGACGGGUGAGGAAUACAUCGGAAUCUACUUUUUCGUGGGGGAUAACGUAGGGAAACUUACGCUAAUACCGCAUACGACCUACGGGUGAAAGCAGGGGAUCUUCGGACCUUGCGCGAUUGAAUGAGCCGAUGUCGGAUUAGCUAGUUGGCGGGGUAAAGGCCCACCAAGGCGACGAUCCGUAGCUGGUCUGAGAGGAUGAACAGCCACACUGGAACUGAGACACGGUCCAGACUCCUACGGGAGGCAGCAGUGGGGAAUAUUGGACGAUGGGCGCAAGCCUGAUCCAGCCAUACCGCGUGGGUGAAGAAGGCCUUCGGGUUGUAAAGCCCUUUUGUUGGGAAAGAAAAGCAGCAGGUUAAUACCCCGCUGUUCUGACGGUACCCAAAGAAUAAGCACCGGCUAACUUCGUG